CUUUGGUUCUGGGUCGUAUAUACACACUGCUACAGUGGAAGGUUUCGACACCUUUAUCGACCGAUACUUUUACCACGAGAUGGAAGUAGGAAUGGAUCCGAAGGAAGAGGUGCAAAAGCCAUGAAAGCGAUUUAAACAGCAUCCAAAUCCAGCGCUGGGAGCGGAUAUUUCAGAUCCUAAAGACUCUGACUGAGGCAAGUCGAUCCAGGGAGCAGGGCUCGAUUCAGUCUCCUGUAAACUGAGAGAGUGAGAGCGACAGAGAGAGAGAGAGAGAGAGAGAGAGAGAGCGCCUGUGGCCAUGCAGUCUCCGGCUGUCCACAACACGAGGUGCUGAACUUGGACAGCUCCUGUCAGCACCUUGGAGAGCUGCUCUUGAUCAUGAGCAUCUGAAAAAUGGAUCCGGUGGGAACCCUGGACCCGCCAUCGGCCACAUCUCUAGAUGAAGGGAUUAAAGCAGGAUUUUGGGAGUGAGGUUGUAAAAACAAUUGGUCAGAGUGUAAAUGAUGCUGCUCUUGUCCACUAGAGUGUCUGAUGGUCCUGAUGUUCUGUUUAUAAUCUGUAAUGGAACCAGUGAAUUUACACUGAAACCCACUGUAGCACGGCAUGUGCUACCCCGGGCUCAAGGAGGACGCUGGAGGCAGGGUUCAAGGUGGCAGCAGCCAUUUAUUUUUCCCCAAAAUAAACAAACACAACCAACCAACACUAAGCUGGACACUUUUCAGAGGCUUCAGCUAGCCUGCUAGACUUUUCAGUCCUUCUCUUCAGCGGAGAUUUUCAGCUCUGCCAUCUUUAGCUGCUGCUCGUCCCUCUCUCCUCUGUUCCCUCACAGCUCUUUAUAAAGGCACUCAAGCUGCCCGCCAGAUGAGAAUCAGCACGUUGGGGGAGCUCCGGCUUUGCGCUCCGCCACCUCCACAAUCGCAGGCCUCGCCUUUCUGCUGGCUCUCUUGGCCGUCAUCGUCGGGGUCCAGGGGGCGGGCGCAUGCCACACCCACUAAAUCCUCCAUGAGCUGCUCACAGCUUCACAUGUUAAUCAGUGCAGUGAUGCACAACCACUUUUCAAGAGGUCAACUAAACAUUUCAGCUUUUUACUUCAUUUUUAACUUAAUUUAGUUCACAAACAAGCAAUGUUUACAUUUUCACAAAAGCUGGUGUUAUUAAAGUGUUAAAUUUAAGUUUAAUUUAUUUCACAUUUAAGAAAAGAAGAAUCUGUAAAUUAUGAAAUGAUCUGACACUGUUGUUUAUCUUAAAGACA